UAUAAUUUAAUUUCCACACAACUGCAGCAUGCACUUUUUUCCAUCCUGCUCAACUAAAUAUUGAAAAUUGUGUCAUGGUCAAGCUUACUCCAUUAGAUGACACAUAAUUUUUUUGAGAUUAAUUAGAUAACACAUGUCCGUAGCUAUAUUUCUAAAUCAACUGAAGCCCAACAUUGUUCAGGCCCAACUUGGCCCAUCACCCACCCAUCCAUCCAUCCAUACAGUACACAACCUUAUCUUCUCUGUAUCGUUCAACACUUCAACCUUAACCACACGUAGGCAGCACCAACGAACACUGACAUCAGCACAACAAUGGCGCUCGCGCUCGUGCUCCUGCCUCUGCAUGCCUUGGGAUGUCGGGUUCCGAAGCGUCGCCGGAGGAGCAGCCUGCUCCGCUCGCCGCGGCGCUCGCGGCACCGGCUGAGAGCUCCCCAACCCCGUCCCUGACGAGGAAGGAGUAGCUGCUGCCCGUGAGGGAGGAGAUCUCGGUGAGGAUCCACCAAUCCCCCGUUCUUGCUGGCGGACGCAGUAGGAGUGGUGAACGGACGAUGGACGUGUGUGGCGCCUGCGUAUGGUCGCACGGAGGGAGAGGCGGCAGAACGGGCGGUAGAGGAGCGGUGUGGAUGGGAUGGGUGGAGCGUAGCAGACGGGAUGGGAGGGGGCUGCGGCGCGUGGGCGGGUGCGGAGCGGAUAGGAGGGCGUGGCAGCGUGCUCGGCUCAAGGUGCGGUGCGAGCCGACCCCUCCUCCGCUCCGGCGACGAGCUCCUCUACUCCGGCAUCGGCCCACCUCCACCGCUCCGGAGCGAGACGCGAACACCUGGAGAUGGGACCGGGUGGAGGAACGCGUGCGCUCGGAGGCGCGAACCGCGAAGGGAGAGAGGGAGGGAGUGGGGCCCACCUGUCGGCGCCGGGGUGAUUGGUUCUGCUAAGACUAAAUAUUAGUUAAUUAUAAAACUAAUUAUACA